GCCAUCCAGUUGGUUUAAAAUGUCCAGAUAUUUGGCCUCUUGCAGACAAGCAGCCUAAUUAAAUCUCUCUUUUUCACUCGGAUGUUUAUCAUUGUUUUGACAAAGUGUAAUAGAAAGAGAACUGGUCAUAGUGUCAGGAGAUUUGAAAAUCCUCAUUAACUCAUUUGCAAACUGCAUGAUUCUGGGUCCAUGAAAUGGUAUCUGAAGGUGUCUAGAGGAUUACUGAAAAUGAAUAAGGAAUACUCCAGGGCUUGAAAGUGAUGGACAGAAAGUUUAUUCAGGCUGAGAUUUUCUGUUUACAGUACCCAGUAAUUAUAUCAAGCAUUGCAUAACCCUGAGACUGAUGAAGUGCACCUACACAGGACUGAGGUCUUCGGCCAUUAUUCAGGCAAGGCUGUGACCAGAAUUGACCCAUCUUUAUGGAUAGGAGUCUACACCUGAAAAGUAGCAUUUGAGCUUCCAGAAAGUCUAAGGUGGCAUUCACUGACUCAUAUGUCAUCCUGUGCUCCUGUGUGCCCUCUCCAGAGGCUCCAAGAGUCCUGACACUUACACCUUCUCUUACUCAAAGAAGGUUGCUGAUUUGAUUAUGCUGACAUUCUUCUACAUCUUACAGAUAAAUAAAUCAUCUUGGAUUUUCUAAAAUGGUGUCUGUGUCAUAUUUGUUCAACAAAUGAAGACUAACAUUGGCAAUUGUCAAUUUGAUGAUUGAAUUAG
rnacentral:lncRNA from 10 species